rnacentral:tRNA from 1 species
GCCCACGUAGCUCAGUUGGCAGAGCGCGUCCUUGGUAAGGACGAGGUCAUCAGUUCAAUCCUGAUCGUGGGCUCCA